UCCCGUGUGGCUCAGUUGGUAGAGCAUGGUGUUUGCAACGCUAGGGUUUUGGGUUCGAUUCCCACGGGGGAC
rnacentral:tRNA from 1 species